CUGCAACCAAGAAUAAGUAAGUCCUCUAUCAUGUGAGGAAACAAUAUAUGCAAGAACACUUUCUAUCCAUAAAAUGUAGUCAUAAAAAUCAGUUUAGAGGCUAUGCUAGCUAUCAAUUUAUUGCCUCAGCUCUGAGUCCAUCUUUCAUUGCUUGCUCUGUGAUAAUGGAGGUUUGCAAUGUGAAGCUUUGCCAGUAGAAGGCGCUAGAGGGACUCAGCAGGAGAAAGGGGUUUCUAUGCCAGGUUAGGGUGCAUUCCUAUCAGACUUCAAGUUCUUCAGCACAAGUGGCCAGCAGCACGUGUACUCUUCUCACGGGCAGUAUUUCCCAGCAUCCCCUCAGAGUGGUACUGGGGAGUGCCUCAUUGACUUUACCUCGCAGCGAGCCAGUUACGUUCUCUUCAACAAGGAAGAGUGGUUGUGACUUUAUCAAUGAAGAGACUAAUAUCCUCUGAGUGCUCACCACAUCCAUGGCCCCACCAUUAAUGUCACUGUACUCUGUAACAUGUGUCCUGACCACACAGGCCUGGAGCAGGCGUGGGCACCUGACAAAAGGACAGCUGGAGCCCCUCUGCUGAGAAUUCUGAACUUGAGAUGCGCCAAAGGAGUGUUCUUUGUCUCUGCCACCUGAGUGCGCCUGCACAGUGUAGAUAAAUGAAUGGCAUGCAUAAGAGCUCGACCUUUCUUUGCUACUGGGAACUUGAUAUUGUGAACACAUUAGCUAAUCAUAAUGCAGAGGCUGUGGUAAGCAGCCCCAACAGAAACACGGACAGAGGAGAGUCAGAGAGCACCUACAUUGAAUUUUUUGUCUGCUUUAUAGCCAGCAUGUGUGUUACAAAGCAGUUAUUCUUCAUGGUUAGGAAAAAAACUAAUGAAAAACAUUUUCUGAGCCUUGAUUAACACAAUCUUUGUUAUAUAUCAGGUGUAAGUCCUUCCUAAUAAAAUAGGAAAAACUCUGCUAAUAGACAUCAGUUUAACAGAAUGUGUUUGUAAAAUGAUUGGCUCUGUCCUUACUGUUCCUGUAUUGCUUUGAACAACUGCUGUAAAACUGCAUAUUUUGAGACAUUUACGACUGGUUAGCACUCUAAAUGGAAGGAGGGAAUAUUCCAUUUCCAACAGCAAACAAAACAAAAACUAUAAAAUUAUUAUUAAAUGCUUUAAAACAAUAAAGAUAAGUAAUCUAUAAGAUAAAAAUGAUGAAAACUGAAAACACAGAAAUGGAAAGAUUCAUCUUAUUUCUGGAUGGAAAACGAAAAAUUCAGACUGUGUUUGGGAUUAUUUGUUGUUGCUAGGUCACCACCAAAACCUUGUAAUAAACAAUUAAGUUAUAAGGAGCAGAAUAUAAAAUAGCAUUUGUUUAGUAAAUAACAAUCAUGUAAACACUAUGUCAGCAGAGAGAUAAAAACUGUAAACGAAUCUGAGAAAUAUCCUAAUUAAUUUAGUUAAUUUCCUCCCUAAUUUUUAGAACUUCUCUUUGUAUCAUAAAGCUCAUUCCUUAAAAAGGAAAAUCUCAAGUAUCUUAGCAAUUUCUUUAAUGACAAUGCCUAUACCUAAGGUACUCCUUUUCCGUGUCCUGCUGUGCAAUUUCAAAUGUGGCCCUUGAUCUCUUGCAGCAAUGUUCUGGCUAGGGCUUGCUUGUAAAGACUCUGACACCAUCAGGGUGAGGAAGGUGUGCUGGCUCACAGGAGCGUGUUAUGCCCUCUCCUGGGCUUCCUCUUAGAGGUGAGAACCAGACUCCAACAGUCAACCAGCAAUGAGCACAUGUGGGAGGGCUAAGCGCAGACUUAGCACAAAAAUUAUACAUGCUUCCCAAUAAAACCAAACUUGGCCA